CCUACGGGUGGCAGCAGUCGAGAAUCAUUCACAAUGGGGGAAACCCUGAUGGGGCGACGCCGCGUGGGGGAAUGAAGGUCUUCGGAUGGUAAACCCCUGGCAUGGGGGAGCAAAUUAAAAAGAUAGUACCACAAGAGGAAGAGACGGCUAACUCUGUGCCAGCAGCCGCGGUAAUACAGAGGUCUCAAGCGUUGUUCGGAAUCACUGGGCGUAAAGCGGGCGGAGGCGGUUUCGUAAGUCGUGUGUGAAAGGCGCGGGCUCAACCCGCGGACGGCACAUGAUACUGCGAGACUAGAGUAAUGGAGGGGGAACCGGAAUUCUCGGUGUAGCCGUGACAUGCGUAGAUAUCUGGAGGAACACUCGUGGCGAAGGCGGGUUCCUGGACAUUACCUGACGCUGAGGCACGAAUGCCUGGGGAGCGAAAAGGAUUAGAUACCCGAGUAGUC
rnacentral:rRNA from 1 species